UUGGACAAUGGGGGCAACCCUGAUCCAGCCAUGCCGCGUGCGGGAAGAAGGCUUCGGGUUGUAAACCGCUUUCAGACGGAAAGAAACAGUACAAGCUAAUACCUUGUACGAAUGACGGUACCGUCAGAAGAAGCACCGGCUAACUACGUGCCAGCAGCCGCGGUAAUACGUAGGGUGCGAGCGUUAAUCGGAAUUACUGGGCGUAAAGAGUGCGCAGGCGGCUCUCUAAGACAGGUGUGAAAUCCCCGGGCUUAACCUGGGAAUGGCGCUUGUGACUGGAGAGCUAGAGUGUGGCAGAGGGGAAUGGAAUUCCUGGUGUAGCAGUGAAAUGCGUAGAUAUCAGGAGGAACACCGAUGGCGAAGGCAGUUCCCUGGGCCAA
rnacentral:rRNA from 1 species